AACUGUCCCUCGGCCUGGACGAGCGGGGAGGAGGCCCCUGGGGAGUUCCGGGUCCCCCGCGCCCCGAAACCAGGCGGCGGGCGCGUGCCGUCCACCGGGGAACGGAGCGAGGCCGGGAGCGGAGUCCAGGGCGGAGGGGAGGGGACGCCCCCGCGGAAACUCACUCACCUUCCCUCGGCCCCGGCCCGGGCCCCUCCCGGGGCGCCCCAACCCCCGGGCCUCCCGCCGAGCCCAGCGCCACCGAGGCUGCCGCGGGAAGGGACCUGGGCCUCGGGCCGGACCAGGCCCACCCGGGAGGCCCGGGUUGCGGGGGGCGCACAGGACCCGGGCUGGACCCCUCCUGGCCCCGCGCUUUCCCAGGCCCCGCGCCCCGCGGAGCGCGGCCGGCCCAAUGCCGCGCGGGGCCCCGGGCGGCCCGAGGUCUGGCGGCGGGGGCAAGGGCGACCUCGGGCGGCGGGAGGACGACCUCGGGCGGCGGCGGGGAGGGGUCUGAGUGGGGGGCGGCCCGACCUGGGGCGGGGGCUUCGGCGCUCACCUGCGGCAGCCGCCACCUGCUCCUCGCGCGGGCGUCCCCGGCGUCGCCUCCGCGGCCCCGCUCCGGCCGCUGCGCUCCUGGGCCCUGGGCCCGGCCCGGCCCUGCGUCGGGGCCUCAGCGAGUGCGGCGCCCGCCGCCCCCGGCCCCCAUCCCGCCGCCCUCCGCCCUCCGCCCUCGGCCGUGCCGCCGCCGCCACUUCCUGUGCGCGGCGAUCCCACAGUUCCGCCGGCGCGCGCGGGGCGGCCGAGGGACACGCGGGGGGGAGGGACGCGCGGGAGGACGCGGGGGGGGACGCCAUGGGGGGGACGCGGCGGGGGACGCGCGCGGAGGGAGAGGGCGGGCUGGGGCGGCCGGUGGGAUCCGCUAACGGGCGGUGCUGGGACAGGGCUGGGUGCGGGGGGCGGGGGGCGCGGGGAUCGGGGAGGUCGAGGCUGAACUGGGGCAGGCGGCGGAGGACCGGGCUGGGGUGCGGCGAGGGCUCCCGCGGACGGGAUCGGGGGCAGGACCGGGUCGGGGCCGAGGGGGCCGAGGCGCGGGGUGGGGCCGGGAGGGGCCUCCGAGCUCUGCCUGAGCCCGGCAUCUCCAGGGCCAGGGUCUCCGUUGGCCCCGGGGCAGUUUGGGGCGUGAGCCCCUCCCGCGUUGGCCGGGGGUCGGGGUCGGGUCGGGGUCGGGUCGGGUCGCCCCGCGGCGGGCUCGGUGGGGCCGGCCCUGCCCUGCGAGCGGCGACUCCGCGCGAGGAUCGCGUUUCAGCCCACGCGCCGCGCCCUCUGACUUCUGCAUAG
rnacentral:lncRNA from 13 species